AGUUUUAUGGUUGUUUUAAACUUCUUCUAAGACUAAGUAAAACUUAAAAUAUAUAUAAAAUAAAUUCUGCCCAAUGAUAAAAAUUUAAAUGGCCGCAGUACACUGACUGUGCAAAGGUAGCAUAAUAAAUUGUCUUUUAAUUAAAGACUAGAAUAAAUGAAAUUUUGGGGGGGGCCUGUCUCUAGAUGGUUUAUUUUAAUUUAUUAAUUAGGUGAAAAUCCCUAAGAAUAAAAACAAAAGACGAGAAGACCCUAAGAACUUUAAUAAAAAAGAAAAAAUUUUCUCUAGUUUUUGUUGGGGUGACAAAUUAACAAGGCCUAACCUAUUUUAAUAACACAAACCGAGAAAAGUUAUUUUAGAGUAAGUUACCUUAGGGAUAACAGCAUAAUUUUUCUUUAAGAUUGUGACCUCGAUGUUGGACUAGGGAAAUAAUAGUUAGUUACUAAGACAAAUGGUUCUGUUCGAACCCUCUACCCCU
rnacentral:rRNA from 1 species